CCUACGGGCGGCAGCAGUGGGGAACAUUGGACAAUGGGCGAAAGCCUGAUCCAGCCAUGCCGCGUGUGUGAAGAAGGCCUUCGGGUUGUAAAGCACUUUCAGUGGGGAAGAAAGCCUUGGGGCUAAUACCCUCGAGGAAGGACAUCACCCACAGAAGAAGCACCGGCUAACUCCGUGCCAGCAGCCGCGGUAAUACGGAGGGUGCGAGCGUUAAUCGGAAUUACUGGGCGUAAAGCGCGCGUAGGCGGUCUGAUAAGCCGGUUGUGAAAGCCCCGGGCUCAACCUGGGAACGGCAUCCGGAACUGUCAGGCUAGAGUGCAGGAGAGGAAGGUAGAAUUCCCGGUGUAGCGGUGAAAUGCGUAGAGAUCGGGAGGAAUACCAGUGGCGAAGGCGGCCUUCUGGACUGACACUGACGCUGAGGUGCGAAAGCGUGGGUAGCAAACAGGAUUAGAUACCCUGUAGUC
rnacentral:rRNA from 1 species